GCAGUAGCCGCGGGAAAACGGAGGGAGCUAGCGUUGUUCGGAAUUACUGGGCGUAAAGCGUGCGUAGGCGGCUUUUUAAGUCGGAUGUGAAAUCCCUGAGCUUAACUUAGGAAUUGCAUUCGAUACUGGGAAGCUAGAGUAUGGGAGAGGAUGGUAGAAUUCCAGGUGUAGCGGUGAAAUGCGUAGAGAUCUGGAGGAAUACCGAUGGCGAAGGCAGCCAUCUGGCCUAAUACUGACGCUGAGGUACGAAAGCAUGGGGAGCAAACAGGAUUAGAUACCCGGGUAGUCCCUGUCUUUAUACA
rnacentral:rRNA from 1 species